rnacentral:rRNA from 1 species
UACGGAGGGAGCUAGCGUUGUUCGGAAUUACUGGGCGUAGAGCGCGCGUAGGCGGUCCAUCAAGUCAGAGGUGAAAGCCCGGGGCUCAACCCCGGAACUGCCUUUGAAACUGGCGGACUAGAAUCUUGGAGAGGCGAGUGGAAUUCCGAGUGUAGAGGUGAAAUUCGUAGAUAUUCGGAAGAACACCAGUGGCGAAGGCGACUCGCUGGACAAGUAUUGACGCUGAGGUGCGAAAGCGUGGGGAGCAAACAGG